rnacentral:rRNA from 1 species
GAGUGGACGUUACCCACAGAAUAAGCACCGGCUAACUCUGUGUCAGCAGCCGCGGUAAUACAGAGGGUGCGAGCGUUAAUCGGAUUUACUGGGCGUAAAGCGCGCGUAGGUGGUUAAUUAAGUCAAAUGUGAGCUCCCCGAGCUUAACUUGGGAAUUGCAUUCGAUACUGGUUAGCUAGAGUAUGGGAGAGGAUGGUAGAAUUCCAGGUGUAGCGGUGAAAUGCGUAGAGAUCUGGAGGAAUACCGAUGGCGAAGGCAGCCAUCUGGCCUAAUACUGACACUGAGGUGCGAAAGCAUGGGGAGCAAACAGGAUUAGAUACCCUGGUAGUCCAUGCCGUACACGAUGUCUACUAGCCGUUGGGGGAUUUGAUCCUUUAGUGGCGCAGCUAACGCGAUAAGUAGACCGCCUGGGGAGUACGGUGGCAAGACUAAAACUCAAAUGAAUUGACGGGGGCCCGCACAAGCGGUGGAGCAUGUGGUUUAAUUCGAUGCAACGCGAAGAACCUUACCUGGCCUUGACAUAGUAGAGACUUUCCAGAGAUGGAAAGGUGCCUUCGGGAAUCUACAUACAGGUGCUGCAUGGCUGUCGUCAGCUCGUGUCGUGAGAUGUUGGGUUAAGUCCCGCAACGAGCGCAACCCUUUUCCUUACUUGCCAGCAUUUCGGAUGGGAACUUUAAGGAUACUGCCAGUGACAAACUGGAGGAAGGCGGGGACGACGUCAAGUCAUCAUGGCCCUUACGGCCAGGGCUACACACGUGCUACAAUGGUCGGUACAAAGGGUUGCUACCUAGCGAUGUGAUGCUUAUCUCAAAAAGCCGAUCGUAGUCCGGAUCGCAGUCUGCAACUCGACUGCGUGAAGUCGGAAUCGCUAGUAAUCGCGGAUGAGAAUGCCGCGGUGAAUACGUUCCCGGGCCUUGUACACACCGCCCGUCACACCAUGGGUGUUUGUUGCACCAGAAGUAGGUAGUCUAACCGCAAGGAG